GACGAACGCUGGCGGCGUGCUUAACACAUGCAAGUCGAACGGAAAGGCCCUGCUUUUGUGGGGUGCUCGAGUGGCGAACGGGUGAGUAACACGUGAGUAACCUGCCCUUGACUUUGGGAUAACUUCAGGAAACUGGGGCUAAUACCGGAUAGGAGCUCCUGCUGCAUGGUGGGGGUUGGAAAGUUUCGGCGGUUGGGGAUGGACUCGCGGCUUAUCAGCUUGUUGGUGGGGUAGUGGCUUACCAAGGCUUUGACGGGUAGCCGGCCUGAGAGGGUGACCGGCCACAUUGGGACUGAGAUACGGCCCAGACUUCUACGGGAGGCAGCAGGGGGGAAUAUUGCACAAUGGGCGGAAGCCUGAUGCAGCAACGCCGCGUGCGGGAUGACGGCCUUCGGGUUGUAAACCGCUUUCGCCUGUGACGAAGCGUGAGUGACGGUAAUGGGUAAAGAAGCACCGGCUAACUACGUG
rnacentral:rRNA from 1 species